UACGAAGGGGGCUAGCGUUGCUCGGAAUCACUGGGCGUAAAGCGCACGUAGGCGGCUUUUUAAGUCAGGGGUGAAAUCCUGGAGCUCAACUCCAGAACUGCCUUUGAUACUGAGAAGCUUGAGUCCGGGAGAGGUGAGUGGAACUGUGAGUGUAGAGGUGAAAUUCGUAGAUAUUCGCAAGAACACCAGUGGCGAAGGCGGCUCACUGGCCCGGUACUGACGCUGAGGUGCGAAAGCGUGGGGAGCAAACAGG
rnacentral:rRNA from 1 species